UACAUGGGGUGCAAACGUUGCUCGGAAUUAUUGGGCGUAAAGGGCGCGUAGGCGGCUCUUUAAGUCAAAGGUGAAAUCCCUCGGCUCAACUGAGGAACUGCCUUUGAAACUGAAGAGCUUGAGUCCGGGAGGGGGUAGCGGAAUUCCCAGUGUAGCGGUGAAAUGCGUAGAUAUUGGGAGGAACACCAGUGGCGAAGGCGGCUACCUGGACCGGAACUGACGCUGAGGCGCGAAAGCGUGGGUAGCAAACAGG
rnacentral:rRNA from 1 species